CGGGUGAGUAAUGCGUGACCAACCUGCCCCAUGCUCCAGAAUAGCUCUUGGAAACGGGUGGUAAUGCUGGAUGCUCCAACUUGACGCAUGUCUUGUUGGGAAAGUGUUUAGUGGCAUGGGAUGGGGUCGCGUCCUAUCAGCUUGUAGGCGGGGUAAUGGCCCACCUAGGCUUCGACGGGUAGCCGGCCUGAGAGGGCGGACGGCCACAUUGGGACUGAGAUACGGCCCAGACUCCUACGGGAGGCAGCAGCU
rnacentral:rRNA from 1 species